CGCUGGCGGAAUGCUUUACACAUGCAAGUCGAACGGCAGCACGGGAGCUUGCUCCUGGUGGCGAGUGGCGAACGGGUGAGUAACACGUCGGAACGUAUCCAUGUAAUGGGGGAUAACGCAGCGAAAGCUGUGCUAAUACCGCAUACGCCCUACGGGGGAAAGCAGGGGAUCUUAGGACCUUGCGUUAUUGGAGCGGCCGACGUCUGAUUAGCUAGUUGGUGGGGUAAAGGCCUACCAAGGCGACGAUCAGUAGCUGGUCUGAGAGGAUGAUCAGCCACACUGGAACUGAGACACGGUCCAGACUCCUACGGGAGGCAGCAGUGGGGAAUUUUGGACAAUGGGCGCAAGCCUGAUCCAGCCAUUCCGCGUGAGUGAAGAAGGCCUUCGGGUUGUAAAGCUCUUUCAGCAGGGAAGAAACGAUCUUGGCUAAUACCUGAGAUUAAUGACGGUACCUGAAGAAGAAGCACCGGCUAACUACGUGCCAGCAGCCGCGGUAAUACGUAGGGUGCGAGCGUUAAUCGGAAUUACUGGGCGUAAAGCGUGCGCAGGCGGUUUUUCAAGUCUGAUGUGAAAGCCCCGGGCUUAACCUGGGAACUGCGUUGGAAACUGAAAGACUAGAGUGCGGCAGAGGGGGGUAGAAUUCCACGUGUAGCAGUGAAAUGCGUAGAUAUGUGGAGGAAUACCGAUGGCGAAGGCAGCCCCCUGGGUCGACACUGACGCUCAUGCACGAAAGCGUGGGUAGCAAACAGGAUUAGAUACCCUGGUAGUCCACGCCCUAAACGAUGUCAACUAGUUGUUGGGGAGGGAGACCUCCUUAGUAACGCAGCUA
rnacentral:rRNA from 1 species